UACGUAGGUGACCAGCGUUGUCCGGAUUUACUGGGCGUAAAGAGCGCGCAGGCGGUCGUUCAAGUCGAGUGUGAAAGCCCCCCGGCUCAACUGGGGAGGGUCAUUCGAUACUGAUCGACUUGAAGGCAGGAGAGGUGAGCGGAAUGCCGAGUGUAGAGGUGAAAUUCGUAGAUAUUCGGCGGAACACCGGUGGCGAAGGCGGCUCACUGGCCCGAUACUGACGCUGAGGCGCGAAAGCGUGGGGAGCAAACAGG
rnacentral:rRNA from 1 species